rnacentral:rRNA from 1 species
AUACGGAAGGUGCAAGCGUUAAUCGGAAUCACUGGGCGUAAAGCGCUCGUAGGUGGCUUUGUAAGUCAGGUGUGAAAGCCCACGGCUCAACCGUGGAAUUGUACUUGAUACUGCAUUGCUUGAGUUCGGGAGAGGGUAGUGGAAUUCCAGGUGUAGGAGUGAAAUCCGUAGAGAUCUGGAGGAACACCAGUGGCGAAGGCGACUUCCUGGACCGAUACUGACACUGAGGAGCGAAAGCGGU